rnacentral:ncRNA from 1 species
UAGCUUUAGGGCUAGCGUUGCAUAUGAAUACUGGAGGUAGAGCACUGAAUGAGGUAGGGGCUGACAACAGUUACUGAACUCUAUCAAACUCCGAAUGCCAGAUAUUAUUAGUGCAGCAGUCAGACUGCGAAUGAUAAGAUCCGUAGUCAAAAGGGAAACAGCCC